ensembl:lncRNA
CCUCAGCACAAAGCAGCCAAUAGAAAUGUGCCGUUGCCAUGCUUCAUCUGAAAGGAAAUGGUCACUCCAUCAGUACAGUGAUAAUAUCUCCAUUAUUCUUGCUACCAAGAUGUAAAGCAGGGCCAUCCAGACGACUCCAGGAGUAUUCAAGCAUAAUCUGUAAAGACCAGAAGGAAAAAUUACAAAUCUUCCCUUUUGUUAUCUUGUAUAAUUCAAUUCUUAUAAAAUCUCGCUCAGACAUCCAAGGAAGGUAUUUGGGCCAUCUUUGGUCUUUCAACCUCUGGUGGAAACUACGAAUGGCAGGAAAUCAUCUUCAUCACAGCGAUGGUCACUUGCUAGCCUGGAAAAUGGACCAAACCAAAUCAACUCACCUCAGCGCAAAGCAGCCAAUAGAAAUGUGCCGUUGGCAUGCUUCAUCUUAACGGAAAUGGUCACUCCAUCAGUACAUUAAUUUUUCUUGCUACCAAGAUGUAAAGCAGGGCCAUAUAGAUGAUUCCAUGAGUAUUCAAGCAUAAUCUGUAAAGACCAGAAGGAAAAAUUACAAGUCUUUUCUUUUGUAAUCUUGUGUAAUUCAAAUCUAAUCAAAUCUCGCUCAGACAUCCAAGGAAGGUAUUUGGGCCAUCUUUGGUUUUACAACCUCUGGUGGAAACUACGAAUGGCAGGAAAUCAACUUCAUCACAGCGAUGGUCACUUGCUAGCCUUGAAAAUGCACCAAAACUCACCUCAGCACAAAGCAGCCAAUAGAAAUGUGCCGUUGGCAUGCUUCAUCUUAACGGAAAUGGUCACUCCAUCAGUACAUUAAUUUUUCUUGCUACCAAGAUGUAAAGCAGGGCC